UACGAAGGGAGCUAGCGUUGUUCGGAAUCACUGGGCGUAAAGCGCACGUAGGCGGAUGUGUCAGUCAGGGGUGAAAUCCCGGAGCUCAACUUCGGAACUGCCUUUGAUACAGCACGUCUUGAGUCCGGAAGAGGUGGGUGGAAUUCCUGGUGUAGCGGUGAAAUGCGCAGAUAUCAGGAGGAACACCAAUGGCGAAGGCAGCACUCUGGGACGGUACUGACGCUGAGGCGCGAAGCGUGGGAGCGAACAGG
rnacentral:rRNA from 1 species